GUGGACGCGUAAUGGUAAUGCGACUGCCUGCGAAGCAGAUGGUUCCGGGUUCGAUUUUCGGUGGCCCACC